AGUGAACGCUGGCGGUAGGCCUAACACAUGCAAGUCGAACGGCAGCACAGUAAGAGCUUGCUCUUACGGGUGGCGAGUGGCGGACGGGUGAGGCAUACAUCGGAAUCUACUUUUUCGCGGGGGAUAACGUAGGGAAACUUACGCUAAUACCGCAUACGACCUACGGGUGAAAGCAGGGGAUCUUCGGACCUUGCGCGAUUGAAUGAGCCGGUGUUGGAUUAGCUAGUUGGCGGGGUAAAGGCCCACCAAGGCGACGAUCAGUAGCUGGUCUGAGAGGAUGAUCAGCCACCCUGUAAGUGAGACAGGGUCGAGAGUCCUACGGGAGGCAGCAGUCGGGAAUAUUGGGCAAGGGGCGCAAGCCUGAUCCAGCCAUACCGCGUGGGUGAAGAAGGCGUUCUGGUGGUAGAGCCCUUUUGUUGGGAGAGAAGAGCAGCAGGUUAAUACGCCGCUGUUCUGACGGUACCUAAUGAAUAAGCACCGGCUAACUUCGUG
rnacentral:rRNA from 1 species